rnacentral:rRNA from 1 species
UACAGAGGGGGCGAGCGUUGUUCGGAAUUACUGGGCGUAAAGGGCGCGUAGGCGGCCGACUAAGUCAGACGUGAAAUCCCUCGGCUCAACCGGGGAACUGCGUCUGAUACUGGAUGGCUUGAAUUCGGGAGAGGGAUGCGGAAUUCCAGGUGUAGCGGUGAAAUGCGUAGAUAUCUGGAGGAACACCGGUGGCGAAGGCGGCAUCCUGGACCGAGAUUGACGCUGAUGCGCGAAAGCCAGGGGAGCAAACGGG